rnacentral:rRNA from 1 species
AACGAACGCUGGCGGCAUGCCUAACACAUGCCAGUCGAACGAGACCUUCGGGUCUAGUGGCGCACGGGUGCGUAACGCGUGGGAACCUGCCCUUAGGUUCGGAAUAACUCCCCGAAAGGGGUGCUAAUACCGGAUAAUGUCUUCGGACCAAAGAUUUAUCGCCUUUGGAUGGGCCCGCGUUGGAUUAGCUAGUUGGUAAGGUAAAAGCCUACCAAGGCGACGAUCCAUAGCUGGUCUGAGAGGAUGAUCAGCCACACUGGGACUGAGACACGGCCCAGACUCCUACGGGAGGCAGCAGUGGGGAAUAUUGGACAAUGGGCGAAAGCCUGAUCCAGCAAUGCCGCGUGAGUGAUGAAGGCCUUAGGGUUGUAAAGCUCUUUUACCCGGGAUGAUAAUGACAGUACCGGGAGAAUAAGCGCCGGCUAACUCCGUG